AGAGCAGGUGUGACCGUCGCGAGGUCGAUUCGUCGACUUCGAGGAAAGUCCGAGCUCCAUAGGACAGGGUGCUGGGCAACUCCCAGUGGGAGCGAUCCCAAGGAAAGUGCAACAGAAAGCAGA
rnacentral:RNase_P_RNA from 1 species